CUUGGUGCUGUGAUUAUAAAAAAAAUUCCUCGUUCUGAAUGCUGUAGAAUUGGCAUGAUAGACUCUUCUAACACCCAUAGAAUAUGAGCACCA